rnacentral:rRNA from 1 species
UACGUAGGUGACCAGCGUUGUCCGGAUUUACUGGGCGUAAAGAGCGCGCGGGCGGUCGUUCAAGUCGAGUGUGAAAGCCCCCGGCUCAACUGGGGAGGGUCAUUCGAUACUGAUCGACUCGAAGGCAGGAGAGGGAAGCGGAAUUCCCGGUGUAGUGGUGAAAUGCGUAGAUAUCGGGAGGAACACCAGUGGCGAAGGCGGCUUCCUGGCCUGUUCUUGACGCUGAGGCGCGAAAGCUAGGGGAGCAAACGGG